rnacentral:rRNA from 1 species
AUUGAACGCUGGCGGCAGGCCUAACACAUGCAAGUCGAGCGAGCGGCGGACGGGUGAGUAAUGUCUGGGAAACUGCCUGAUGGAGGGGGAUAACUACUGGGAACGGUAGCUAAUACCGCAUACCAUAAGAUGUGCCCAGAUGGGAUUAGCUCGUAGGCGGGGUAACGGCUCACCUAGGCGACGCUCACUAGCUGGUCUGAGCGGGUGACCAGCCACACUGGGACUGAGAAACGGUGCAGAUGCCUACGGGAGGCAGCAGUGGGGAAUAUUGCGCAAUGGGCGAAAGGCUGAUGCAGCCACGCCGCGUGUAUGAAGAAGGCCUUCGGGUUGUAAAGUACUUUCGGCGGGGAGGCGUUACCUGAAGAAGAAGCACCGGCUAACUCCGUGCCAGCAGCCGCGGUAAUAC